UUAAAAGCCUCCCCCCCCCCUUCUAAAUUCCAAAAUAUUUCGAUCGUUUGAUGAAUAACGCGAAACUAGUAUUUUUAAACCGUUUGAAUCGAGAUUACAGAAAAGUUUGCUUUACGAGAAUCAAUAAAGAUUUAAAAUUAUUGUACUCUAGUCUUGGUUAAAAAACGUGCUGCUUUUGGAAAACUACGAGUGAUUAUAGCCACGUCCUUUACUUCAAGGUUGUCUCAUUACUUACAAAGAGGAAAUAAGAUUAACGAGCAUUAAGAUUGGUGAGUUAGCUGGUCACCAAAGGCGGCUAAUUAAUUAUAUUUUUUUACACUUUAAUCACCAAGCAUGGAUUAUAUCAUACUGUGUUAUUUGAGUUUUUUGUACGAAAAAACUCGUAGUAUAUCGGUGCCAAUAUAUUAUAUAAUAUUUAUUUUAUAUUACCUUUUCACUUUAAGAUUCUGAUUCGGACUCUGAUACUGAGCCAAGAAGGAAAAAUUUUAAACAAAUUAAUCAAGCUGCUCAGACUAAAAUAUACCAGGAUUUAAUAUCGAUGAUAAGAUUUUUCAUAAGACAUAAAAACAUGAAGGAUUUAAUUAUAACAAGCAAACACAUAGAGGCACUGGAG